rnacentral:rRNA from 1 species
AUUGAACGCUGGCGGCAUGCUUUACACAUGCAAGUCGAACGGCAGCGCGGGCUUCGGCCUGGCGGCGAGUGGCGAACGGGUGAGUAAUGCAUCGGAACGUGCCCAGUAGUGGGGGAUAGCCCGGCGAAAGCCGGAUUAAUACCGCAUACGUCCUGAGGGUGAAAGCGGGGGACCGAAAGGCCUCGCGCUAUUGGAGCGGCCGAUGUCGGAUUAGCUAGUUGGUGGGGUAAAGGCUUACCAAGGCGACGAUCCGUAGCUGGUCUGAGAGGACGACCAGCCACACUGGGACUGAGACACGGCCCAGACUCCUACGGGAGGCAGCAGUGGGGAAUUUUGGACAAUGGGGGCAACCCUGAUCCAGCCAUGCCGCGUGCGGGAAGAAGGCCUUCGGGUUGUAAACCGCUUUUGUUCGGGAAGAAAUCCUCUGGGCUAAUACCCCGGGGGGAUGACGGUACCGGAAGAAUAAGCACCGGCUAACUACGU